UGCACACAAACGAGUAAUUUUUUUAAGAAAGUUCAAUUUUUUUGAUGGAGUAAGAUGUUCCUGUGCUGUUUUGUGAAGUUUGGAAAUUUGAGAAACUCGUGGCAAAAAAAAAAUCAGUCAUGAACAACACGAUUUUCAAAAGUUUGUCGGACAUUCAAUUUUUUUUAUUACGACCUCUUUGAAUGUUUAAACUUCACAAAAUUUUGUACUGAGUUCCUACUCAGAAGCAUCUUGCACCACAAUUUUUUAAACUUUUUGUACCUUUUUCUAUUUCAAAUCACGGUACUGUUGAGCCUGGUAGCCAAAUCGCU
rnacentral:lncRNA from 1 species